CAGUAGCCGCGGUAAUACGUAGGUGGCAAGCGUUGUCCGGAAUUAUUGGGCGUAAAGGGCUCGCAGGCGGUUUCUUAAGUCUGAUGUGAAAGCCCCCGGCUCAACCGGGGAGGGUCAUUGGGAACUGGGAAACUAGAGUGCAGAAGAGGAGAGUGGAAUUCCACGUGUAGCGGUGAAAUGCGUAGAGAUGUGGAGGAACACCAGUGGCGAAGGCGACUCUCUGGUCUGUAACUGGCGCUGAGGAGCGAAAGCGUGGGGAGCGAACAGGAUUAGAUACCCCGGUAGUCCCUGUCUCUUAGAC
rnacentral:rRNA from 1 species